rnacentral:rRNA from 1 species
AGAGUUUGAUCAUGGCUCAGAAUCAACGCUGGCGGCGCGCUUAACACAUGCAAGUCGCACGAGAAAGCGGGAGCAAUCUCGCAAGUAAAGUGGCGUACGGGUGAGUAACACGUGGGUGAUCUACCCUUUAGUGGGGAAUAACGCUGGGAAACCGGCGCUAAUACCGCAUAAGCUCGAGAGAGGAAAGCAGCAAUGCGCUGAAGGAGGAGCCCGCGGCCGAUUAGCUAGUUGGCAGGGUAAGAGCCUACCAAGGCGGAGAUCGGUAGCCGGCCUGAGAGGGCACACGGCCACACUGGCACUGAAACACGGGCCAGACUCCUACGGGAGGCAGCAGUGGGGAAUCUUGCACAAUGGGGGAAACCCUGAUGCAGCGACGCCGCGUGAGCGAUGAAGCCCUUCGGGGUGUAAAGCUCUUUCGGCAGGGACGAUAAUGACGGUACCUGCAGAAGCAGCUGCGGCUAACUACGUGCCAGCAGCCGCGGUAAUACGUAGGCAGCGAGCGUUGUUCGGAGUUACUGGGCGUAAAGGGUGUGUAGGCGGUUUUCUAAGUUUGGUGUGAAAUCUCCCGGCUCAACCGGGAGGGUGCGCCGAAAACUGGGAGACUAGAGUGCGGGAUGGGAGAGUAGAAUUCCUGGUGUAGCGGUGAAAUGCGUAGAUAUCAGGAGGAAUACCGGUGGUGUAGACGGCUCUCUGGACCGCCACUGACGCUGAGACACGAAAGCGUGGGUAGCAAACAGGAUUAGAUACCCUAGUAGUCC